rnacentral:rRNA from 1 species
CAUCUUUUCUUGUAUUUUAUUUGAAAUUUGGCCUGCCCAAUGAUAAUUUAUUUAAUGGCCGCGGUAAUUUGACCGUGCAAAGGUAGCAUAAUCAUUAGUUCAUUAAUUGUGGACUUGUAUGAAUGGCUGGACGAAAUAUUGACUGUCUCACAUUUAAAUAUGGAAUUUAAAUUUUGAGUUAAAAUGCUUAAAUUUUUUUGGAGGACGAGAAGACCCUAUAGAUCUUUAUUUUUUAUGUUUUAAGUUAAUUUAGUUUUUUUAUUAUUUAUGAUUUAAAAUAUUUUAUUGGGGUGAUAUUGAGAUAAAUUUAACUCUUAUUUAUAUUAUACAUUUAUUUUUGUUUAUUUGACCUUCUAUUAUUGUUUGAAGAUAUAGAUACCUUAGGGAUAACAGCGUAAUUCUUUUUGAGAGUUCAAAUCGACAAGAGAGAUUGCGACCUCGAUGUUGGAUUAAGAUAAUAAAUAGGUGUAGGUGUUUAUUUGUUAAGUCUGUUCGACUUUUAAAAUCUUACAUGAUCUG